CGGCGGACGGGUGAGUAACGCGUAGGUAACCUGCCCCAUACAGAGGGAUAGCCACUGGAAACGGUGAUUAAUACCUCAUAAAACUGAGAAUACACAUGUAUACUCAGCCAAAGAUUUAUCGGUAUGGGAUGGACCUGCGUCUGAUUAGUUAGUUGGUGAGGUAACGGCUCACCAAGGCGACGAUCAGUAGCCGACCUGAGAGGGUGAUCGGCCACAUUGGAACUGAGACACGGUCCAAACUCCUACGGAAGGCAGCAG
rnacentral:rRNA from 1 species